CCGCGAACGGCUCAUUAUAUCAGCUGUAAUCUGAUUGAUCUUGACACUUUCUACAUGGAUAACUGUGGUAAUUCUAGAGCCAAUACAUGCGCUAAAGCCCCGUCCUUGCGGAGAGGGUGCAUUUAUUGGAGCAAAACCAGGCGACCUCGGUCGUUGUUGCUGACUCAGAAUAACUAAGCUGAUCGCACGGUCUCGUACCGGCGACGUGUCUUUUGAGCAUCUGCCUUAUCAAUUUUCGAUGGUAGUGUAUCUGACUACCAUGGUUUUGACGGGUAACGGAGAAUAAGGGUUCGACUCCGGAGAAGGGGCCUGAGAAAUGGCCACUACGUCUAAGGAUGGCAGCAGGCGCGCAAAUUACCCACUCUCAGAAUGAGGAGGUAGUGACGAGAAAUAACGAGACCGUUCUCUUUGAGGCCGGUUAUCGGAAUGGGUACAAUCUAAACCCUUUAACGAGUAUCUAUGAGAGGGCAAGUCUGGUGCCAGCAGCCGCGGUAAUUCCAGCUCUCAAAAUGCAUAGAAUCAUUGCUGCGGUUAAAAAGCUCGUUGUUGAAUCUAGGCCAGAGGCCUGGUCCACUCCUUGAGUGCGUACUAGGUUCUUUGGCUUUUCGUCGGUUUUCUUGUCGUCGCCUUUAUUGGUGGCGGCAAGUGGCUGACAAUUUUACUUUGAACAAAUUAGAGUGCUCAAAACAGGCGUUUCGCUUGUAUGCUUUUGCAUGGUGAUAAUGGAAUAUGACUUUGGUCUAGUUUUAUUGGUUUUAUAGAUCGUUGUCGUGAUUAA
rnacentral:rRNA from 1 species